AGUUAUACGGUCGCGGGGGCAGGGAGAGCCUGUCAAUGAGGAAAGUCCGAGCGUUUUAGAAACAGGGUGCUGGAGAAAUCCCAGUGGAGGCGACUUUAAGGAAAGUGCAACAGAAAACAACUGCCUAAUUUUAGGUCAAGGUGAAAAGGCGUGGUAAGAGCACACCGUCCUUGUGGUGACACGAGGAGCAAUGUAAACCCCACCCGACGCAAGAUUGACAAACUUUUUCAAUAGGGAGUUUCGCCGAAAAAGUUUAACGAAUAUCGCUAGAGGGUAUUGGUAACAAUACUCGUAGAUAAAUGACCGUACACGACAGAACUCGGCUUACAGAUUGUCUUA
rnacentral:RNase_P_RNA from 1 species